ensembl:lncRNA novel transcript
CUGGUUUUAUGAUCUGACUAUUUGAUGAUCUCUACUGAGAUGGUAAAAACUUUGUUUUUGGCAGUUAAGAGAUGGAAGAAAUCUGGUUAUUUGGUUCCUUAUUGUGUUUGUGUGCUUUUCUAUUGUGGAGCUUAACUCAAUGAAGAAAACAUUUCUUGCACACUAGAAAGCAGAGCAGCCCUUUGAGAUCUUCAACAGUAAAGUUUUUCCUCUGUGUUUAACUUGUGACUGAGGUUGUGGCAAUUAAACUGCAAGCUCUUUCUAUAUCUGUGUGUUUAUAACUGGGAAAUACCUACACAUCUUCUGAUGUUUGCUGCUGUCAUCUUAUGCUUGCCUGAAGGCUCUGUUGUAAAUUACAGAGUAAAUUUUUGUCUUCAAUAAAGAAAGCUGCACUCACAGACUCAUGGAAAGCAAUAUACUGGGACUUUUACCUAUUGAUGCUUCACAGCAUACAUUCAUGGUUAUAGGCUUUGGAGCUUAAAGCUGACAAUAUUUAAACAAGUGUCAGAUCAUACCAGCAGACUGAGUCAGGACAGCUAGGUCUUUUUUAAAACUAGAAGCGGAAAACUUCAUUAAUAACAGACAGAUGACCUAUGACUCAGUAAAGGAAUUAAUUCCAUUGGACUGAAUGAAUUAAUGAGGGAAAUUUAAUU